rnacentral:rRNA from 1 species
ACGGGGCGCAGCAGGCGCGAAAACUCUACAAUGCAGGCAACUGCGUUAGGGGAACAUCGAGUGAUCCUCAUAUUNGGGGUCUGUCCACCCGUCUAAAAAACGGAUGUUAGCAAGGGCCGGCAAGACCGGUGCCAGCCGCCGCGGUAAUACCGGCGGCUCGAGUGGUG